UAGAAGAAUCAAUUCUUUCUAGAGUCAAAGG
rnacentral:piRNA from 1 species